rnacentral:rRNA from 1 species
UACGGAGGGGGCUAGCGUUGUUCGGAAUUACUGGGCGUAAAGCGCACGUAGGCGGCUUUGUAAGUUAGAGGUGAAAGCCCGGGGCUCAACUCCGGAAUUGCCUUUAAGACUGCAUCGCUAGAAUUGUGGAGAGGUAAGUGGAAUUCCGAGUGUAGAGGUGAAAUUCGUAGAGAUGCGGAGGAACACCGAUGGCGAAGGCAGCCCCCUGGGCCAAUACUGACGCUCAGGCACGAAAGCGUGGGGAGCAAACAGG